rnacentral:rRNA from 1 species
UACGUAGGUGGCAAGCGUUGUCCGGAUUUACUGGGCGUAAAGAGCGCGCAGGCGGUCGUUCAAGUCGCGUGUGAAAGCCCCCGGCUCAACUGGGGAGGGUCACGCGAUACUGAUCGACUCGAAGGCAGGAGAGGGUAGUGGAAUUCCCGGUGUAGCGGUGGAAUGCGUAGAGAUCGGGAGGAACACCAGUGGCGAAGGCGACUACCUGGCCUGUUCUUGACGCUGAGGCGCGAAAGCUAGGGUAGCAAACGGG